GUAAAUAAUAUUAUACAACAGUAGUUAUGAUGAUGAUGAUGAUGACGGCUCAUCUAUCGUCAUCUUGUUGUUGUUGUUGUUAUUGUGCAUUUUAUAUCCGUAGCUUCAUUUAUUAAUUAUUAUUAUUAUUAAUGUCAUUGGUUUUGUUGAUGAAAACUGAUCAUCAUCAUCUGACUAGAAAAAAAUCCGGCCAUUACGUCAUCAUCAUCAUCAUCAUCUUUGUCGUCGUCGUUGUUGUUGUUGCACCAAACUUUAAGUUAUUAUCGAUCACGUAAAU